GGGUCAGUAGGUUGGUCGUGCUACCGGUACGUACUGGUCUCACUGAUUCCUCCUUCCUGAAGAACCGUAAUGCCAUUAAUUUGGUGUUGCGGGGGAACAGGACUGUUACUUUGAAAAAAUUAGAGUGUUUAAAGCAAGCUAACGCUUGAAUACAUUAGCAUGGAAUAAUGAAAUAGGACGAUCGAUCCUAUUUUGUUGGUUUCUAGGAUUGACGUA
rnacentral:rRNA from 1 species